AUGGACGAAAGUCUGACGGAGCAACGCCGCGUGAGUGAUGAAAGGUUUUCGGAUCGUAAAGCUCUGUUGUUAGGGAAGAACAAGUGCCGUUCGAAUAGGGCGGCACCUUGACGGUACCUAACCAGAAAGCCACGGCUAACUACGUGCCAGCAGCCGCGGUAAUACGUAGGUGGCAAGCGUUGUCCGGAAUUAUUGGGCGUAAAGCGCGCGCAGGUGGUUUCUUAAGUCUGAUGUGAAAGCCCACGGCUCAACCGUGGAGGGUCAUUGGAAACUGGGGAACUUGAGUGCAGAGAGGAAAGUGGAAUUCCAAGUGUAGCGGUGAAAUGCGUAGAUAUUUGGAGGAACACCAGUGGCGAAGGCGACUUUCUGGCCUGUAACUGACACUGAGGCGCGAAAGCGUGGGGGAGCAAAACAGGAUUAGAUACCCUGGUAGUCCCACGCCGUAAACGCUGAGUGCUAAGUGUUAGGGGGUUUCCGCCCUUUAGUGCUGCAGCUAACGCAUUAAGCACUCCGCCUGGGGAGUACGGUCGGAAGACUGAAACUCAAAGGAAUUGACGGGGGCCCGCACAAGCGGUGGAGCAUGUGGUUUAAUUCGAAGCAACGCGAACCACCUUACCAGGUCUUGACAUCCUCUGACAACCCUAGAGAUAGGGCUUUAA
rnacentral:rRNA from 2 species